rnacentral:tRNA from 1 species
GGGGACGUAGCUCAACUGGGAGAGCACUAGCUUUGCAAGCUAGGGGUUGGCGGUUCGAGCCCGCUCGUCUCCA